ACGUCUACAUUAGACUACCCCCGUAGUCCCAGCCGUAAACUAUGCUCGCUAGGUGUCAGGCAUGGCGCGACCGUGUCUGGUGCCGCAGGGAAGCCGUGAAGCGAGCCACCUGGGAAGUACGGCCGCAAAGGCUGAAACUUAAAGGAAUUGGCGGGGGAGCACAACAACGGGUGGAGCCUGCGGUUUAAUUGGACUCAACGCCGGACAACUCACCGGGGACGACAGCAAUAUGUAGGCCAGGCUGAAGACCUUGCCUGAAUCGCUG
rnacentral:rRNA from 1 species